AGUGAACGCUGGCGGCGUGCCUAAUACAUGCAAGUCGAACGGACAAGUAAGAGCUUGCUCUUAUGAGUUAGUGGCGCACGGGUGAGUAAUGUAUAGUUAAUCUGCCCCUUAGUGGAGGACAACAGUUAGAAAUGACUGCUAAUACUCCAUACUCCUUCUUAACAUAAGUUAAGUCGGGAAAGUUUUUCGCUAAGGGAUGAGACUAUAUUGUAUCAGCUAGUUGGUAAGGUAAUGGCUUACCAAGGCUAUGACGCAUAACUGGUCUGAGAGGAUGAUCAGUCACACUGGAACUGAGACACGGUCCAGACUCC
rnacentral:rRNA from 1 species